GAAAUGCGAUAAGUAAUGUGAAUUGCAGAAUUCAGUGAAUCAUCGAAUCUUUGAACGCACCUUGCGCUCCUUGGUAUUCCUUGGAGCAUGCCUGUUUGAGUAUCAUGAAAUCUUCAAAGUAAAUCUUUUGUUAACUCAAUUGGUUUCUACUUUGGUAUUGGAGGUCUUUGCAGCUUCACACCUGCUCCUCUUUGUUCAUUAGCUGGAUCUCAGUGUUAUGCUUGGUUCCACUCGGCGUGAUAAGUUAUCUAUCGCUGAGGACACUGUAAAGAUGGCCAAGGUAAAUGCAGAUGAACCGCUUCUAAUAGUCCAUUGACUUGGACAAUACUUUUAUGAUCUGAUCUCAAAUCAGGUAGGACUACCCGCUGAACUUAAGC
rnacentral:misc_RNA from 1 species